UCAUUCUUUCGCCGCUUCCCUAUAACUCCCACAUACUUUCUCUCUCCUUCCCUGAAACCCUCAAAUCUUCGACCUCCUUCCCUCGACCCUAUCACUCUCUCGUAUAUUUCUCUCUCCUCUUUCAAUCCUAAACCCAAAACCUUCGAAUAUCUCUCUCCAAAAUCACCAGUGCAAAGAAAUAGAGAGAGGAGAAAGAUACGGUGCUCCUCUCACGGAGCCUCCUGGGUUCCCUCUAACCCGAUGAUACAGUUGUUGGCGGCAAGAACUCUUCCGACAAUCCGUCGGCAUUUAUGGUUCUCGCCAGUGGUGGCGGAGAAGGCUGUAACGGCAUUCCCAACCAAAUUUCAAAAAUCGUCGAUUUAAUUUUAACUAGAUGAAGCUGAAGAUCAACAAAGCUUGCGAUCUCAAUUCCAUAUAUGUUCUUCCUCCUCACACCAGAAUAACAAUCAGUUGGUGUUUGGGGAUGUCUAUGGAGUUGUUUUGCAUCCUAAACAGGUAGAGCUUGAAAAAGCCCAGAUUGUGGACCUUAAAUUCCAAGUUCCUGAUGUUGGCAAAGCGCUUCAGAGAAGUAGGGGAGUUUCUUAGUGGUGCUUUGGCUAGGGCUAUGUCGAAGGCGAUUUUGGCGCCUCUUGAAACCAUCAGUUUUAGCUUGCUGGAUGACAAAUAUUCUGGUUAAGUGCCUGGAAAGUGGAGACCAGGGACGAUAAAUCUUUGUCACUAUACACCCCCUGCACCGACACUACAAGCCUUGACAGUAUGUCCUGUACUAGAUCAUCCGGAAGAAUGCAGUUUUCUUCCAUACCGCGGGCCUUAAACCUGGGUUUUCCAAAUUCUCCCCAUUUUCAACUAUGACACAAAUUGUUGUUUCUACAAAAAUUCUUAUUAUCUUAGUUCUUGAUAUCAAAUGUGUUUAAUUCAGGAAAGAUUGGGGGCCAAAAUUGUAGAGCUUGAACACAUUUAUUUCAUAUAUUCUAUUACUACCAUUUCUAUUUCUACAUGAGAAGGUU